AGAUGAUGUGACGCGUUUUUCGUCUCCACUGAGUGAACGGAGGACUUUCACUGAUCAGGAGGAUUGUUGUUGUUAAUUAAACCCUCUUAAUCAUUAUUAUAUUACAUUAUUAUAUCAUACAGCCUACCUUGUUGUUGAACUGGAGCUGAUCAGCUAUGGAUCCAUCCAGCUGUUGAAAGUUCCAGCAGAAGUUGUCCGAGGAGGAGAAGAAAGGGCUGAAGGUUUUCCUCGCCGUCACAGAUUUUGACACUUUCUCUCUGGAGCUGCAUGAAAUCCUGCUGCUGAAGACGAGCACCGCCGUGCCCGACCAGCGUUACCAACCACACUGGGACAUCAGGUCCACCUUAGAGAUCCACUUGGAGAAGAAAGACCUUCCAGUCCUGCUGGGGCUCGAGUCUUUACCGGAGGACAUCACACUGGGACAAGGAGCUGACGUGUGGAGGGCUGCUGUCCAGUUUAAAAGGAGAUAGAUUAUUUCUACUGACUUAUUUGUGUUGUAAUUGUUCCAUUACUAUUAUUAUGGGACAUCUGGAUUUAGAUUGAAUGUCUGUGAUUAAUGAAGAGGCAUGUUCUGAUUAAAUGUUUCUGUAUAUUUUGAGAAGUCUGAAAGUGACAGGGUGGUGCAAUAAAUGCAUUUGAUUUGAAGCAGGCCUAUUUUUUUCCUUAUGUUACCUGUUAACCCUCUGACUUUACUCGCGAGCCCGAC